rnacentral:rRNA from 1 species
GGGUCAGUAGGUUGGUCGUGCCACCGGUACGUACUGGUCUCACUGAUUCCUCCUUCCUGAAGAACCGUAAUGCCAUUAAUUUGGUGUUGCGGGGAAGCAGGACUGUUACUUUGAAAAAAUUAGAGUGUUUAAAGCAAGCUAACGCUUGAAUACAUUAGCAUAGAAUAAUGAAAUAGGACGAUCGAUCCUAUUUUGUUGGUUUCUAGGAUUGACGUA